rnacentral:rRNA from 1 species
CGGGACACGUGGUAUCCUGUCUGAAUAUGGGGGGACCAUCCUCCAAGGCUAAAUACUCCUGACUGACCGAUAGUGAACCAGUACCGUGAGGGAAAGGCGAAAAGAACCCCGGCGAGGGGAGUGAAAAAGAACCUGAAACCGUGUACGUACAAGCAGUGGGAGCACGCUUAGGCGUGUGACUGCGUACCUUUUGUAUAAUGGGUCAGCGACUUAUAUUCUGUAGCAAGGUUAACCGAAUAGGGGAGCCGAAGGGAAACCGAGUCUUAACUGGGCGUUAAGUUGCAGGGUAUAGACCCGAAACCCGGUGAUCUAGCCAUGGGCAGGUUGAAGGUUGGGUAACACUAACUGGAGGACCGAACCGACUAAUGUUGAAAAAUUAGCGGAUGACUUGUGGCUGGGGGUGAAAGGCCAAUCAAACCGGGAGAUAGCUGGUUCUCCCCGAAA